rnacentral:rRNA from 1 species
UACGUAGGGUGCGAGCGUUGUCCGGAAUUAUUGGGCGUAAAGAGCUUGUAGGCGGUUUGUCGCGUCUGCCGUGAAAAUCCGGGGCUCAACCCCGGACGUGCAGUGGGUACGGGCAGACUGGAGUGUGGUAGGGGAGACUGGAAUUCCUGGUGUAGCGGUGGAAUGCGCAGAUAUCAGGAGGAACACCGAUGGCGAAGGCAGGUCUCUGGGCCACUACUGACGCUGAGAAGCGAAAGCAUGGGGAGCGAACAGG